rnacentral:rRNA from 1 species
UGGGGAAUUUUGGACAAUGGGCGAAAGCCUGAUCCAGCAAUGCCGCGUGAAUGAUGAAGGCCUUAGGGUUGUAAAGUUCUUUUAGUGGGGAAGAUAAUGACGGUACCCACAGAAAAAGCACCGGCUAACUUCGUGCCAGCAGCCGCGGUAAUACGAAGGGUGCAAGCGUUGUUCGGAAUUACUGGGCGUAAAGCGCGCGUAGGCGGCUUGAUAAGUUGGGAGUGAAAUCCCGGGGCUUAACUCCGGAAUUGCUUCCAAAACUAUUGAGCUAGAGUAUGGCAGGGGACAGUGGAAUUCCUAGUGUAGAGGUGAAAUUCGUAGAUAUUAGGAGGAACACCAGUGGCGAAAGCGACUGUCUGGACCAUUACUGACGCUGAGGCGCGAAAGCGUGGGGAGCAAACAG